AUUUGGAUGAUAAAGAUGAGAAGUCAAUAGAGGGCUUGAUUGUGAACAUUUGCAAGCUGAUUUGAGAGUAAAGUCCUCAAGGUGGAGCAGCCAAGAGGAUCAAUUUUGGCCAAUAAGGAUGAUUGAAAUUAUACUGACCUAUGCUUAACGAGUUUUUUUGCCAAGGGUGAUUUGAUACGGAACAUAGGUGAGAAAGAGGGAUUUUGAAAGAAGAUGUGAAGGAUAUGAUAGCAAAACAAGGCAGCGGGCUUCAUUUAAAGCAUAGUGAACUUUACCAA
rnacentral:lncRNA from 1 species